GAUGAACGCUGGCGGCGUGCUUAACACAUGCAAGUCGAACGAAGCGCUUAAACGGAUUUCUUCGGAAUGAAGUUUUUGCGACUGAGUGGCGGACGGGUGAGUAACGCGUGGGUAACCUGCCUCAUACAGGGGGAUAACAGUUAGAAAUGACUGCUAAUACCGCAUAAGACCACAGCACCGCAUGGUGCAGGGGUAAAAACUCCGGUGGUAUGAGAUGGAUCCGCGUCUGAUUAGCUAGUUGGUAAGGUAACGGCUUACCAAGGCAACGAUCAGUAGCCGACCUGAGAGGGUGACCGGCCACAUUGGGACUGAGACACGGCCCAA
rnacentral:rRNA from 1 species